CUUGUUCACAGGCCGCGGAUGUAGACGGAGCUCCCCUACGAACGACUCGACUCGCCCGGUCUUCAAGUGGGUCUUCACCGGAACGUCGAGCCGAGGCUAGCACCAUCUGCCCGCUUGGGAAUUGACCUCUACUGACCAAAGGGGAAGCAGACGGUCACCGGACGGAGGUAGCGGCGCCCGCCUGGCAUCGGACGGACGCGCCUACUGCCGGGGAACGAGGCUGCUGAGCGCUCCUGCCUGGACCCAGACGCCCACUUAUCAGCGUACCAGUUACUCGUCACCGACCGACCAACGGCUCCGAAUCGGCGAGAUAUCCACGGAAAUUCACGAAUCGUUCUGUGAACUUGAGGAUAGAAAUAAAUAUUCCUGAUAGUGCCAAUGAAAAAUUGCUGGGUUUCUCUCUCUUGCCCUCGACCUUUAAUAUUAGAGAUACGGAGACACCCAAAUAGUGAUUAGUGGAGGAGAGCAUUAAUUCUGAACGUCAAGAUUGUCGCCACCACGCCCGAUCUUCUUUACCAGCUGAGUGAUCGUGGCUUGAAUAAGAUUUUGGUAGCGGCAAUUAUUGGUGCCGUGACCAGGAUCUGCUGGUCGAAUACCUGUAAACGGAAACACAACGCA